GAUCCACUAUCACUGAAACCACCCUUCAAUCCCUCCCAGGGCUCUCCUCUGCUGUCCUCAGUCUCCACCCCACUGAGCACAGAGCUCCUCUGUCCCUGUACAGUGCUCAUGUGCUUGAGGCCAUGGGUGCCUGGACAGGAAGGAUGGUUCUUUUCUUCAGGAAGGAAACCACAGAGCCCCAGGGUUUUGAAGGCAGAUCAGAGGCAGUCACCAGAGGCCAAGGCCUGCUCUGAGCUGUGGCUGGCAGCUGCAAGUGUGGCCCCGGCACCCAGACCCUCUGCAAUAAACCGCAAGUUCCACGACCUGGCUCCAGAAA